UUGGAGUCAAUGAGGCCCCCGAUCUGAGUGAGGUUGCAGUUUCUCUGCGUCACAUACUCAAUGCUGGUGGACUCCAUCAGCAGCGCGUAGUCUGUGGUGGAGAUUUUUGAUUUCUGGAGGGAAAGAAAACACACUCACCAGCAGAAGAGGGCUGGAAAAAUACGACCUAAAGAUCAUCUGCCGAAUCUAUGGGGGAUUCCAUUCUCUCUACUGUCAAGAAGGCAGCCAGAUUGGCCGUGUAGGAUGAAAUGAUGAUUAGGGUGAAAAACCACCAUAUCCCUCCAACUAUUCUGGUCGAUAGAGCUUUGGGCAUCAGCUCUGAUCCUGUGAUGGUAUCAUCAGAGUAAGGGUGUUAAACACAGUCAGAAGGAAAGGGAAGAUGUACAGUUCGACACUAUUCUAGGAAGAUCAACCUGUAAAAGACUUACCGUCUUGUAGGUAGAUGAAAUAAAUGCAUUUUAUAGAAAAUGGA